rnacentral:misc_RNA from 1 species
CUACAUUAUGGCAUUUUUCUCUUUUCUUCUCAUUUGAGCCGAGGGUCUUUCGGAAACCGCUCUUUAUCCCACAAAGGCAAGGGUAAGAUCUGUAUACAUCCUACCCUGCUCAGACUCCACUUGUGGCCCGUUGGAUUACACUGGAAAAUGCCAAAAAGGAAAACCGACAAGGCAUAUGUAUUGGAUAAAAAAAAGUAUCUCGCAAGACUGAGUGUAGAUGAUGCGGGGAAAGUUCUUCUAAAGCGUGGUGAAGGGAAAAUGGAGAAACAGUUUCGGAUGUCCUGUAAGGGAUGUGGCCUGUUUGUCUGCUAUCGGGCAGAAGAAGAUCUGGAGACUGCCUCUUUCAUAUAUGUAGUUGAUGGGGCACUUAGCACUAUUGCGGCUGAGACAAAUCCACAGGAUGCUCCUGUACCACCAUGUAUAUCACAGUUAGAAGGUGGCCUUGUGCAAGUGGCGAUAGAAGUCGAGGACCGUGCCCAGCGGUCUGCAAUUACAAGAGUGAAUGCAGAUGAUGUUCGGGUCACUGUAACCGCACCUGCAGCUCGUGGGGAAGCUAAUAAUGAACUUCUGGAAUUCAUGGGCCGAGUACUGGGUCUGAAAUUAUCUCAGAUGACUCUCCAAAGAGGAUGGAAUAGCAAAUCAAAGCUUCUUGUAGUGGAGGAUUUGACAGCUAGACAAGUAUACGAAAAACUCUUGGAGGCUGCCCAACCUUGAGAUGGCUCCCAGAUCCUAAUAGUUUUUCGUAGUCAUUUUCUCCAUGUUUGUAACAUUGAAACUUCAGUUUCUCAA